rnacentral:rRNA from 1 species
UACGUAGGGGCUAGCGUUAUCCGGAAUUACUGGGCGUAAAGGGUGCGUAGGUGGUUUCUUAAGUCAGAGGUGAAAGGCUACGGCUCAACCGUAGUAAGCCUUUGAAACUGGGAAACUUGAGUGCAGGAGAGGAGAGUGGAAUUCCUAGUGUAGCGGUGAAAUGCGUAGAUACUAGGAGGAACACCAGUUGCGAAGGCGGCUCUCUGGACUGUAACUGACACUGAGGCACGAAAGCGUGGGGAGCAAACAGGAUUAGAUACCCCUGUAGUCCCUGAG